AGAGUUUGAUCAUGGCUCAGGAUGAACGCUAGCGGCAGGCCUAACACAUSCAAGUCGAGGGGUAACAGAGUAGCUUGCUACUGCUGACGACCGGCGCACGGGUGCGUAACGCGUAUACAAUCUMCCUUUUGCUGCGGGAUAGCCUUAGGAAACGAAGAUUAAUCCCGCAUAGUAUACAGAGUUCUCAUGAGUUUUGUAUUAAAGGUCACGGCAGAAGAUGAGUAUGCGUCCUAUUAGCUAGAUGGUGUGGUAACGGCACACCAUGGCGACGAUAGGUAGGGGCCCUGAGAGGGGGAUCCCCCACACCGGUACUGAGACACGGACCAGACUCCUACGGGAGGCAGCAGUGAGGAAUAUUGGACAAUGGAGGCAACUCUGAUCCAGCCAUGCCGCGUGCAGGAAGACUGCCCUAUGGGUUGUAAACUGCUUUUAUACGGGAAGAAACACUGCUACGUGUAGCAGCUUGMCGGUACCGUAAGAAUAAGGAUCGGCUAACUCCGUGCCAGCAGCCGCGGUAAUACGGAGGAUCCAAGCGUUAUCCGGAAUCAUUGGGUUUAAAGGGUCCGUAGGUGGAUAAUUAAGUCAGAGGUGAAAGUCUGCAGCUCAACUGUAGAAUUGCCUUUGAUACUGGUUAUCUUGAAUUAUUGUGAAGUAGUUAGAAUAUGUAGUGUAGCGGUGAAAUGCAUAGAUAUUACAUAGAAUACCAAUUGCGAAGGCAGAUUACUAACAAUCAAUUGACACUGAUGGACGAAAGCGUGGGGAGSGAACAGGAUUAGAUACCCUGGUAGUCCACGCCGUAAA
rnacentral:rRNA from 1 species